CUGCGGAGGAUCAUUCAUAAUAAGUGUUUUAUGGCACUUUUUAAAUCCAUAUCCACCUUGUGUGCAAUGUCAGUCGAUCUUCUUCAUGGAGAUCGACCAAACAUCAACCUUUAUUUUUUAACUCUUUGUCUGAAAAAUAUUAUGAAUAAACAAUUCAAAAUACAACUUUCAACAACGGAUCUCUUGGCUCUCGCAUCGAUGAAGAACGCAGCGAAAUGCGAUACGUAAUGUGAAUUGCAGAAUUCAGUGAAUCAUCGAAUCUUUGAACGCAUAUUGCGCUCUUUGGUAUUCCGAAGAGCAUGCUUGUUUGAGUAUCAGUAAACACCUCAAAGCUUUUGGAUUUUUUAAUCGAAAAGCUUUGGACUUGAGCAAUCCCAACACCAAUCUUUUUGAGAUCGGUGGCGGGUUGCUUGAAAUGCAGGUGCAGCUGGACAUUCUCCUGAGCUAAAAGCAUAUUCAUUUAGUCCCGUCAAACGGAUUAUUACUUUUGCUGCAGCUAACAUAAAGGGAGUUUGACCGUAUUGGCUGACUGAUGCAGGAUUUCACAAGGGUCGGCAACGAUUCUUGUUAAACUCGAUCUCAAAUCAAGUAAGACUACCCGCUGAACUUAA
rnacentral:rRNA from 1 species